UGUGUGUUAGUGGAAGCGUCUGGAAAGGCGCGCGAUACAGGGUGACAGCCCCGUACACAAAAAUGCACAUGCUGUGAGCUCGAUGAGUAGGGCGGGACACGUGGUAUCCUGUCUGAAUAUGGGGGGACCAUCCUCCAAGGCUAAAUACUCCUGACUGACCGAUAGUGAACCAGUACCGUGAGGGAAAGGCGAAAAGAACCCCGGCGAGGGGAGUGAAAAAGAACCUGAAACCGUGUACGUACAAGCAGUGGGAGCCUCUUUUAUGGGGUGACUGCGUACCUUUUGUAUAAUGGGUCAGCGACUUAUAUUCUGUAGCAAGGUUAACCGAAUAGGGGAGCCGAAGGGAAACCGAGUCUUAACUGGGCGUUAAGUUGCAGGGUAUAGACCCGAAACCCGGUGAUCUAGCCAUGGGCAGGUUGAAGGUUGGGUAACACUAACUGGAGGACCGAACCGACUAAUGUUGAAAAAUUAGCGGAUGACUUGUGGCUGGGGGUGAAAGGCCAAUCAAACCGGGAGAUAGCUGGUUCUCCCCGAAAGCUAUUUAGGUAGCGCCUCGUGAAUUCAUCUCCGGGGGUAGAGCACUGUUUCGGCAAGGGGGUCAUCCCGACUUACCAACCCGAUGCAAACUGCGAAUACCGGAGAAUGUUAUCACGGGAGACACACGGCGGGUGCUAACGUCCGUCGUGAAGAGGGAAACAACCCAGACCGCCAGCUAAGGUCCCAAAGUCAUGGUUAAGUGGGAAACGAUGUGGGAAGGCCCAGACAGCCAGGAUGUUGGCUUAGAAGCAGCCAUCAUUUAAAGAAAGCGUAAUAGCUCACUGGUCGAGUCGGCCUGCGCGGAAGAUGUAACGGGGCUAAACCAUGCACCGAAGCUGCGGCAGCGACGCUUAUGCGUUGUUGGGUAGGGGAGCGUUCUGUAAGCCUGCGAAGGUGUACUGUGAGGUAUGCUGGAGGUAUCAGAAGUGCGAAUGCUGACAUAAGUAACGAUAAAGCGGGUGAAAAGCCCGCUCGCCGGAAGACCAAGGGUUCCUGUCCAACGUUAAUCGGGGCAGGGUGAGUCGACCCCUAAGGCGAGGCCGAAAGGCGUAGUCGAUGGGAAACAGGUUAAUAUUCCUGUACUUGGUGUUACUGCGAAGGGGGGACGGAGAAGGCUAUGUUGGCCGGGCGACGGUUGUCCCGGUUUAAGCGUGUAGGCUGGUUUUCCAGGCAAAUCCGGAAAAUCAAGGCUGAGGCGUGAUGACGAGGCACUACGGUGCUGAAGCAACAAAUGCCCUGCUUCCAGGAAAAGCCUCUAAGCAUCAGGUAACAUCAAAUCGUACCCCAAACCGACACAGGUGGUCAGGUAGAGAAUACCAAGGCGCUUGAGAGAACUCGGGUGAAGGAACUAGGCAAAAUGGUGCCGUAACUUCGGGAGAAGGCACGCUGAUAUGUAGGUGAAGUCCCUCGCGGAUGGAGCUGAAAUCAGUCGAAGAUACCAGCUGGCUGCAACUGUUUAUUAAAAACACAGCACUGUGCAAACACGAAAGUGGACGUAUACGGUGUGACGCCUGCCCGGUGCCGGAAGGUUAAUUGAUGGGGUUAGCGCAAGCGAAGCUCUUGAUCGAAGCCCCGGUAAACGGCGGCCGUAACUAUAACGGUCCUAAGGUAGCGAAAUUCCUUGUCGGGUAAGUUCCGACCUGCACGAAUGGCGUAAUGAUGGCCAGGCUGUCUCCACCCGAGACUCAGUGAAAUUGAACUCGCUGUGAAGAUGCAGUGUACCCGCGGCAAGACGGAAAGACCCCGUGAACCUUUACUAUAGCUUGACACUGAACAUUGAGCCUUGAUGUGUAGGAUAGGUGGGAGGCUUAGAAGUGUGGACGCCAGUCUGCAUGGAGCCGACCUUGAAAUACCACCCUUUAAUGUUUGAUGUUCUAACGUUGACCCGUAAUCCGGGUUGCGGACAGUGUCUGGUGGGUAGUUUGACUGGGGCGGUCUCCUCCUAAAGAGUAACGGAGGAGCACGAAGGUUGGCUAAUCCUGGUCGGACAUCAGGAGGUUAGUGCAAUGGCAUAAGCCAGCUUGACUGCGAGCGUGACGGCGCGAGCAGGUGCGAAAGCAGGUCAUAGUGAUCCGGUGGUUCUGAAUGGAAGGGCCAUCGCUCAACGGAUAAAAGGUACUCCGGGGAUAACAGGCUGAUACCGCCCAAGAGUUCAUAUCGACGGCGGUGUUUGGCACCUCGAUGUCGGCUCAUCACAUCCUGGGGCUGAAGUAGGUCCCAAGGGUAUGGCUGUUCGCCAUUUAAAGUGGUACGCGAGCUGGGUUUAGAACGUCGUGAGACAGUUCGGUCCCUAUCUGCCGUGGGCGCUGGAGAACUGAGGGGGGCUGCUCCUAGUACGAGAGGACCGGAGUGGACGCAUCACUGGUGUUCGGGUUGUCAUGCCAAUGGCACUGCCCGGUAGCUAAAUGCGGAAGAGAUAAGUGCUGAAAGCAUCUAAGCACGAAACUUGCCCCGAGAUGAGUUCUCCCUGACUCCUUGAGAGUCCUGAAGGAACGUUGAAGACGACGACGUUGAUAGGCCGGGUGUGUAAGCGCAGCGAUGCGUUGAGCUAACCGGUACUAAUGAACCGUGAGG
rnacentral:rRNA from 1 species